GGAAAGACCUUGGCCAACUUUCAUGUGGAUCACCAUUGAAAAACUUCUAUCUUGGGGUUUGGAGAAUACCAACAUGCCACUUCUUCAUUUUGAUGAAAGUAUAAAAUUCUAUCUCUUUUGCAUGCUUGAUUUUGUUUUAUCGAUAUCGACAAGGUGAUUCUAGAGUUUGAUUUCUGGCUUGAUAGUUUUAUUUGAUAAAACUAUGCACUUAUUUGAUUUUAAAAUUUUAAAAAUUAUUUUUUACU
rnacentral:lncRNA from 1 species